UACGGGGGGAGCAAGCGUUGUUCGGAUUUACUGGGCGUAAAGGGCGCGUAGGCGGCCAGCGCAAGUCAGUUGUGAAAUCUCCGAGCUUAACUCGGAAAGGUCAACUGAUACUGCGCGGCUAGAGUGCGGAAGGGGCAACUGGAAUUCUUGGUGUAGCGGUGAAAUGCGUAGAUAUCAAGAGGAACACCUGCGGCGAAGGCGGGUUGCUGGGCCGACACUGACGCUGAUGCGCGAAAGCCAGGGGAGCGAACGGG
rnacentral:rRNA from 1 species